AGUGAACGCUGGCGGUAGGCCUAACACAUGCAAGUCGAACGGCAGCACAGUAAGAGCUUGCUCUUACGGGUGGCGAGUGGCGGACGGGUGAGGAAUACAUCGGAAUCUACUUUUUCGUGGGGGAUAACGUAGGGAAACUUACGCUAAUACCGCAUACGACCUACGGGUGAAAGCAGGGGAUCUUCGGACCUUGCGCGAUUGAAUGAGCCGAUGUCGGAUUAGCUAGUUGGCGGGGUAAAGGCCCACCAAGGCGACGAUCCGUAGCUGGUCUGAGGGGAUGAUCAGCCACACUGGAACUGAGACACGGUCCAGACUCCUACGGGAAGCAGCAGUGGGGAAUAUUGGACAAUGGGCGCAAGCCUGAUCCAGCCAUACCGCGUGGGUGAAGAAGGCCUUCGGGUUGUAAAGCCCUUUUGUUGGGAAAGAAAAGCAGCAGGUUAAUACCCCGCUGUUCUGACGGUACCCAAAGAAUAAGCACCGGCUAACUUCGU
rnacentral:rRNA from 1 species